CUUUAUAGAUAAUAGUGGCAAACGGGUGAGUAACGCGUGGGAAUGUACCCUUUAGUUUGGGAUAACGUUUGGAAACGAACGCUAAUACCAAAUAUUCCAGAGAUGGGAAAGAUUUAUCGCUAAAGGAGCGGCCCGCGUUAGAUUAUGGUAGUUGGUGGGGUAAUGGCCUACCAAGCCUAUGAUCUAUAGCUGGUCUGAGAGGACGACCAGCCACACUGGGACUGAGACACGGCCCAGACUUC
rnacentral:rRNA from 1 species